AAUACUAAUAUCAUUGUGUAUAUACUUGUCUCUUCUAUUGGGGAAGCAGGUGAGACCUUACAUUUUAGAUCUUGGCAGCACCAACAAGGCCUACAUUAGUGAGAGUGUUGAAUUGCAUCUCUUCUUAAUUGUUUUGUUUUCGUGGUUUAGAUAAAACGUACGUUAGUAGUGACCUUUGUUUUUCUUUUUUCAGAAAAUACAUAUUGAACCACAACGCUACUAUGAACUUUUUGAGAAACAGGAUUAUAAUUAAGAUAAAAGAAUUAAAAAAGUGUGAAGGAAUUAAAAUUU
rnacentral:sRNA from 1 species